AACAAACGCUGGCGGCGUGCCUAAUACAUGCAAGUCGAACGGGGAAAGCUUUCGGGUGAGUACUAGUGGCGCACGGGUGAGUAACGCGUGGAUAAUCUGCCCUCGAAUGGGGAAUAACUAGUCGAAAGAUUAGCAAUACCGCAUAAGACCACGACUACUGAGGUAGUUGGGGUCAAAGGAGCAAUUCGUUUGAGGAUGAGUCCGCGUAAGAUUAGCUAGUUGGUGAGGUAAUGGCUCACCAAGGCGAUGAUCUUUAACUGGUCUGAGAGGAUGACCAGUCACACUGGAACUGAGACACGGUCCAGACUCCUACGGGAGGCAGCAGUAGGGAAUAUUGGACAAUGGGGGCAACCCUGAUCCAGCGACGCCGCGUGAGCGAUGAAGGCCUUCGGGUCGUAAAGCUCUGUUGUAAGGGAAAAAGUUCUGAUUGUACCUUACGAGAAAGGAUCGGCUAACUUCGUGCCAGCCGCCGCAGUAA
rnacentral:rRNA from 1 species